GCACAAGCGGUGGAGCAUGUGGUUAAUUCGACGCAACGCGAAGAACCUUACCAGGGCUUGACAUCCCCUGACCGCGUAUGAAAGUACGUUUUCACCCUCGGGUGACAGGGAGACAGGUGGUGCAUGGUUGUCGUCAGCUCGUGUCGUGAGAUGUUGGGUUAAGUCCCGCAACGAGCGCAACCCCUACGUUUAGUUGCUAACGCGUGAAGGCGAGCACUCUAGACGAACUGCCGUUGACAAAACGGAGGAAGUGGGAUGACGUCAAAUCAUCAUGCCCCUUAUGUUCUGGGCUACACACGUGCUACAAUGGCCGGUACAGACGGACGCAAAGCCGCGAGGUGGAGCAAAUCCUAAAAAGCCGGUCUCAGUUCGGAUUGCAGGCUGCAAUUCGCCUGCAUGAAGUCGGAAUCGCUAGUAAUCGCAGGUCAGCAUACUGCGGUGAAUACGUUCCCGGGCCUU
rnacentral:rRNA from 1 species